rnacentral:rRNA from 1 species
UUGCCUACGGGGCGCAGCAGUGGGGAAUAUUGCACAAUGGGGGAAACCCUGAUGCAGCGACGCCGCGUGAGUGAAGAAGUAUCUCGGUACGUAAAGCUCUAUCAGCAGGGAAGAAAAAAAGUCUUUGGCUUUGGACGGUACCUGACUAAGAAGCCCCGGCUAACUACGUGCCAGCAGCCGCGGUAAUACGUAUGGUGCAAGCGUUAUCCGGAUUUACUGGGUGUAAAGGGAGCGCAGGCGGCGCGUUAAGCCUGGUGUGAAAGCCCGCGGCCCAACCGCGGGACUGCAUUGGGAACUGGCGCGCU